GUCUCUGUGGCUUAGUCGGGAGAACCACCGAAUAUGAUGCGGUAGAAUUCGGGUUCGAAUCCCGGUGUAGACA